UGUAUUUGCUUUGGCUACGUAUAUAGUGUAUCCCUGGAGAAUCCCCAAGUUUUCUAGUGGUUAUAUGUUCACGGUUGAGCUUAGUUUAGUAGUCCUACGUACAUAGCUAUUUUACUAAAUAUGUUAUAUUGUAUAAAAUUAAGUAAUCUUUUGAAUUUUCUCUUUUCUCGUAAGUAUCCUCAAAUGUUGUACCCGAAAUUAUGUAGAGGUUCUUCGUUUGGGCUUUGCUAUAAGUGGGAGGUUAUUUCAAUGACUAUUGGAUAGCACAAGUAAUAUAUAUAGGUAGUCCACGACUUACAGCGAUGGGGUAACAUGUCUGUCAGAGAAGGGAAACGUUUGGAAUGGGCAGAUAAUUCUAUCAAGACUAUAUAGCUGUAUUCAUGAGAUUUUACCGAAACGUUGAAGCUACUGUGUAAAGGACCAUUAACGCAAAGCAACACCCCUUUCAUGUUCAAAAGUUUCAUCUGAGGAGAGAUGAGGGAUAGAAGAGAUCCGGUCCGUGGAGGAUUUAUGUUGUCCAUUGAAAGUGAUGGGCUAGUGAUUUUGGUGUUCUGGUAUGGUAUGGAUGAUGGAUCAGUAGUACUGUGGUUCUGGUUUAUCAUGGAUGAUGGGUUGGUGGCUGAGCGGGAAGAGUGAGGGCUUAUAACGCUAAUAUUAAGGGCUUGAUCUCUCCAAGUGUCCUCGUAUUAACUUGUGGUUAAUAAAAAAGCACAUACACGUCUAAACUAGUCACGUAAAUUCUUUUAUUUGUAGAAGUAACAAGUUAGUUACCAGAUUCAGUUCAUAGAUACGCCGUUCUUUGUAUUCUUAUACGAGUUACAUAGCUUUUGAACAUCACAAUGCUCAUGUUUGAUACUCAAAUACAUUAAUCAAAGGUUAAUACAUCUCAGAAGCAGUGCCACAUUGGGCUAUCUGCCGAGUCCAUCGCGAGGAAUAAACCCCGGAUUUUAGCUUUGUAAGUACUUAAACUUACCGCUGUCCCACCGGGGGACUGGAACCUAGGUAGGGUUUAAAUUAGGUGAAUAUUAGGAGACCUGAUGGCUUUAGAGACACAAGGCUACAGCAUAGGCACAGAGGGAAUUACAUUGUUUUAUUUAAAACACAAUUAAAUUAAGUAUUGUAUUAGUAAUGUUGACAAUAACACUGCCCCCCACUGGCACAGCG